rnacentral:rRNA from 1 species
CCUACGGGUGGCUGCAGUGGGGAAUAUUGGACAAUGGGCGAAAGCCUGAUCCAGCCAUGCCGCGUGUGUGAAGAAGGCCUUCGGGUUGUAGAGCACUUUCAGUGGGGAAGAAAGCCUUGGGGCUAAUACCCUCGAGGAAGGACAUCACCCACAGAAGAAGCACCGGCUAACUCCGUGCCAGCAGCCGCGGUAAUACGGAGGGUGCGAGCGUUAAUCGGAAUUACUGGGCGUAAAGCGCGCGUAGGCGGUCUGAUAAGCCGGUUGUGAAAGCCCCGGGCUCAACCUGGGAACGGCAUCCGGAACUGUCAGGCUAGAGUGCAGGAGAGGAAGGUAGAAUUCCCGGUGUAGCGGUGAAAUGCGUAGAGAUCGGGAGGAAUACCAGUGGCGAAGGCGGCCUUCUGGACUGACACUGACGCUGAGGUGCGAAAGCGUGGGUAGCAAACAGGAUUAGAUACCCCAGUAGUC